GACGAACGCUGGCGGCGUGCUUAACACAUGCAAGUCGAACGGAAAGGCCCUGCUUUUGUGGGGUGCUCGAGUGGCGAACGGGUGAGUAACACGUGAGUAACCUGCCCUUGACUUUGGGAUAACUUCAGGAAACUGGGGCUAAUACCGGAUAGGAGCUCCUGCUGCAUGGUGGGGGUUGGAAAGUUUCGGCGGUUGGGGAUGGACUCGCGGCUUAUCAGCUUGUUGGUGGGGUAGUGGCUUACCAAGGCUUUGACGGGUAGCCGGCCUGAGAGGGUGACCGGCCAACUUGGGAACGGGAUACGGCCCCGACUCCUACGGGGGGGAAGAGUGGGGAAUAUUGCACAAUGGGCGGAAGCCUGAUGCAGCAACGCCGCGUGCGGGAUGACGGCCUUCGGGUUGUAAACCGCUUUCGCCUGUGACGAAGCGUGAGUGACGGUAAUGGGUAAAGAAGCACCGGCUAACUACGUG
rnacentral:rRNA from 1 species